AAAGAUUAGGCAGGGUACUGGGCUAUGAAUCUACCACAUGCCUGCCAUGAGAUCACAAUGUUUUAACAGAAUUUAGGAAUUUUGAAAUGUCAAGAGACGUGGACGAUAGUUAUGACUAUCCUGCCUGUUCUGCAAGGUGGGAAUCAGAAUUAUAUCUCUGUAAUCGCCGGAACUCAUUCCCUUUCUCAUUGUCAAAGCUAUAACUGAUCAGAUAUCAGGUGUUCAGGCAAAGAGUUGAGUAGAAGGGCUCACUCUGUCUGCCACCAAGAGCAGCAAUGAAAGAACUGGCGGGAGUCGGACCCUGCGCUUGUGCAAAAGGGCACAAACGUCACGAGACACCAACUGUGCACAUGCAGUCCGGCUGACUACUGCUAUGCAAAACUCCAAUCUGCGGCACUGGGACGACCUGACAACCGUGGAGCACCCAUGGGGACAACAUUUGAAGAAAGGAAGGUUGUCAAUUUAAGUCAGGAGUUGCUGGGACACAGUGUGCCAAGUUUGGUAGUGACAGCGGAUGCAGGACAGGUUCCAGGCAAGACAGAGAUGGUUGCCAAAAGGAAGUUGGCAGCAGGGGGUAUUGGGAAAUGAGAGACAGUGGGCACUAGGGUGGGUUUGGCAGGUUUAAUAAUACAGAGACGCAGAGUACCAGGCUUGGCUGGAUGGGGACAGUGGGUUCUGGAGUUGCAGGUAGAGGGAUGUGCAGUGACAAGAAGGGGUCAGCGGAUGAAUGGGUUGGUGGACAGGUAACAUUUUGUGUAUUUGCAUAUUCAUAAUGAAUAUGCAAAUACACAAAUAAAAUGUUGCAGGUCCGCCAACAGCUUGUAAAUGGGUUUGCCGGUCGGCGGUAUAAAAAAGGUUGGGAACCACUGGACUAGGGUGUAGUAACUGCAACUACUUUUUUGUGGGGUGCAUUACAUUUACUAAAAUUUUGAACUGUUGAUGUCACUGUAAUAUUUCUGUUCUUUGGCCUGCUAGUUCCACCUUACAGUAGUAACAAAAUGUAUUCUGCACAUGGAAGGCAAAAAAUAGUGGAAACAUUGACUCUGAGGCAGUAAAGUGAAAGCUGCUGUAUUUCCUUCAGAAUUUCUCAGGAACAGCAAGCAACAUUAUGGAGAUGUAUUUGAAACCAAAUAUGCAAACAGAGUAGUUUCCUCCUCUCCAAAACCAGUUAAAUCAAAGGCUUUGUAACCUCUCUGUCCCUUGUGAUAAAAUAACAAACCCACUGCCAUUUUCUGCACUAAAACUUUAGUAAUUUAAAAGCACAUCCCUGAGUGAUAUAAGUUUUACCACUGAAAAGCACCAAUAUAGAUAGCACAGCUCCUAGCAAUAAAUAGCUAAUGAGUAGAUCGAUAGAAUGUGUUGUAAAAGCUUCAUCACUUCAUUUGGAAUGAGAUUUUUUAUCACCAGGCGAGAUCUUCCCUGGAGAUAAAGAAUGACUAUGCUGCCCACGUCACAGUGCUAUGGCAGCAGCGCUGAAACGCGGUCAGUGCAGACACCCUAAUUCUCAGAGUUCCUGAUCUCUGAGCCUCCCUUGAAGCUCAGUGUUAACUUGGCAGCUCAGGAAUCACAGAGAAAUUGGUUCAAUUGUACUGUCACUUCCACCCAUCUACAUGAAAAAUCUCUAAAUCUUGUUACUACAUAUUUUAGAAAUGUGUGUCUGUCUGUUCAUUUGUUCAAGAACGCCUCUUAAAUGGUUACAACCACCAAAUUUGGUAUGCAUUUUCCUCUUAAAGCAAUGAAAGAGUUUAUUUGUGGCAGGACAAUGGGACUUGCCUGGAAUGUGAUUAUUUCUCAAAAAACAGAAAGGAAGAGAUUUGCUAACAGGGGCAGUUAUACUACAGAAUGACCACAGGAGGGCAGCAAGGGCCAGAGAUGAGGCCCAGGACAGUUAUAACCCCAUUGGACCCAGAAGUAGAAGGGAUGGAAAAAGGGACAGCUACCUACUGUAUAUUGUAGAAAGUUUGUCUGUCUGUGUGUCU